UCCUACGGGGGGCUGCAGUGAGGAAUAUUGCGCAAUGGGCGAAAGCCUGACGCAGCGACGCCGCGUGGAGGAUGAAGGUCUUCGGAUUGUAAACUUCUGUUAAGUGGGAAGAAAGGGCUGCUUUUAAUAGAAGCAGUUAAUGACGGUACCAUUAGAGAAAGCACCGGCUAAACUCGUGCCAGCAGCCGCGGUAAUACGAGUGGUGCAAGCGUUAUUCGGAAUCAUUGGGCGUACAGGGUGUGUAGGCGGCAUGUUAAGUCUGUUGUUAAAGACUCCGGCCUAACCGGAGAUGGGCAGCGGAAACUGGCAUACUAGAGGUUGGAAGAGAGAAGCGGAAUUCUCGGUGUAGCGGUAAAAUGCGUAGAUAUCGAGAGGAACACCGAUGGCGAAGGCAGCUUCUUGGUCCAUACCUGACGCUGAAACACGAAAGCGUGGGGAGCAAACAGGAUUAGAUACCCGGGUAGUCCU
rnacentral:rRNA from 1 species